rnacentral:rRNA from 1 species
GACGUAGGGCGCGAGCGUUGUCCGGAUUUAUUGGGCGUAAAGAGCUCGUAGGCGGUUCGAUAAGUCGGGUGUGAAAACUCUGGCUCAACUCAGAGACGCCACCCGAUACUGUUGUGACUUGAGUCCGGUAGGGGAGUAUGGAAUUCCCGGUGUAGCGGUGAAAUGCGCAGAUAUCAGGAGGAACACCGAUGGCGAAGGCAGCUCGCUGGGACGAUACUGACGCUGAGGCGCGAAAGCGUGGGGAGCAAACAGG